GCGGGAGUGGCGGAACGGCAGACGUACCUGUCUCAGUAACAGGUUUUUGAGGGUUCGAAUCCCUCCUCCCGUA
rnacentral:tRNA from 1 species